UGAGUCAUUAAAAAAUUAACAUCAUCCGAUCCCUAGUCGGCAUAGUUUAUGGUUAAGACUACGACGGUAUCUGAUCGUCUUCGAUCCCCUAACUUUCGUUCUUGAUUAAUGAAAACAUCCUUGGCAAAUGCUUUCGCAGUAGUUAGUCUUCAAUUAAUCCAAGAAUUUCACCUCUGACAAUUGAAUACUA
rnacentral:rRNA from 1 species